UACGUAGGGCGCAAGCGUUGUCCGGAAUCACUGGGCGUAAAGCGUCUGCAGGUGGUCAACUAAGUCAACUGUUAAAUCUUGAGGCUUAACCUCAAAAUCGCAGUCGAAACUAUUAGACUAGAGUAUAGUAGGGGUAAAGGGAAUUUCCAGUGGAGCGGUGAAAUGCGUAGAGAUUGGAAAGAACACCGCUGGCGAAGGCACUUUACUGGGCUAUUACUAACACUCAGAGACGAAAGCUAGGGUAGCAAAUGGG
rnacentral:rRNA from 1 species